AAGGAAUCACAGAAGCAACACAAGCAAGAUGAUCACAGCGUUCCUUGCCUGCAGGAAUCACAGAAGCAACACAAGCAAGACGAUCACAGCAUUCCUUACCUGCAGGAAUCACAGAAGCAACACAAGCAAGAUGAUCACAGCAUUCCUUGCUCGCAGGAAUCACAGAAGCAACACAAGCAAGAUGAUCACAGCAUUCCUCACCCGCAGUUGUCGUUAUCUUCCUCUCAAGAAGUUUCUCAGAGGCAACAGGUCUAUUCUUAUUCGUAACAUUAUAAAAGCCAUCUAUACCUGCCUGUCUAGUUUAGACUUAAACAUAACCAUAAUGCAAUAUCUAAUUGCAUACAAAUAACCUCCCUUUAGUUAAAGGAGGGUACUGCAUUUUCUACUCAAUCCUG
rnacentral:lncRNA from 1 species